rnacentral:sRNA from 1 species
AACUUGUGUCAGAUAGCACUGAUGUCAAUAAAUGAAGUUUAGUUCUUUUGUUCAUUUAUGCUUUCAAAGACGCCGAAACGCCUGCCUUUAUGCAGCUUACAUUCCAGUGGGAGGACAGACAAUACACAAACAAUUAUGAUAAGCGACCAAAAAACUUUCCCCAGGGAAAAGAAAAUCCAAUGGUCCAGAGAACUUCUACAAUUUAUUCCUCCACACUUGGAGUCUUCAUGUCUCGUAAAGUUUCUCCACAUUAGUUUCUUCUCGGUACAACUCAAUAGCCUCCAUAAUCCUCUCAGCCUACAGAGGAUGAGAAAGGAAAGAAAUCAUCACAACACACUCCAUCAUCCCAGGACACUGAAACUGGAAGAACUGACUAGAAAUUUGCCAAAUGAAAUAGCUUCAAUCCGUUUAAUAAAGACGUGCUAAUAGAGUGCCAAAAAGCA